AUUGAACGCUGGCGGCAGGCCUAACACAUGCAAGUCGAACGAGUGGCGGACGGGUGAGUAAUGUCUGGGAAACUGACUGAUGGAGGGGGAUAACUAAUGGAAACGGUAGCUACUACCGCAUACCAUCGGAUGUGCCCAGAUGGGAUUAGCUAGUAGGUUGGGUAAAGGCUCACCUAGGCGACGAUCCCUCGCUGGUCUGAGAGGAUGACCAGCCACACUGGAACUGAGACACGGUCCAGACUCCUACGUGAGGCAGCAGUGGGGAAUAUUGCACAAUGGGCGCAAGCCGGAUGCAGCCAUGCCGCGUGUAUGAAGAAGGCCUUCGGGUUGUAAAGUACUUUCAGCGAGGAGGCGUUACUCGCAGAAGAAGCACCGGCUAACUCCGUGCCAGCAGCCGCGGUAAUAC
rnacentral:rRNA from 1 species